rnacentral:rRNA from 1 species
CACUGCUAUCGGGGUUCGAUUAAGCCAUGCGAGUCGAGAGGGUUCAGACCCUCGGCGCACUGCUCAGUAACACGUGGAUAACCUACCCUGAGGAGGGGGAUAACCCCGGGAAACUGGGGAUAAUACCUCAUAGGUUUCAGAUGCUGGAAUGCUCUGAAACCGAAAUGCUCCGGCGCCUCAGGAUGGAUCUGCGGCCGAUUAGGUUGUUGUUGGGGUAACGGCCCAACAAGCCCGUCAUCGGUACGGGUUGUGAGAGCAAGAGCCCGGAGAUGGAUUCUGAGACACCAAUCCAGGCCCUACGGGGCGCAGCAGGCGCGAAACCUUUACAAUGCGAGCAAUCGUGAUAAGGGAACCCCGAGUGCCUGAAACCAGGCUGUUCAGGUGUUUAAAAAGCACCUGGAGAAAGGGCCGGGCAAGACCGGUGCCAGCCGCCGCGGUAAUACCGGCGGCUCGAGUGGUGGCCGCUAUUAUUGGGCUUAAAGCGUUCGUAGCUGGGUUGUUAAGUCUCUUGGGAAAUCUCACGGCUCAACCGUGAGGCGACUAAGAGAUACUGGCAAUCUU